GCCCGCACGGGUGAGUUCUGCAAAGUAAGCAGCGUCAACACUCGGCCAGCCUAUCACCCCUCCAUAAAUUCUUGCGCAAAGCAAUGUUAUGAGCGCUGCGGGCAGCUCCCACCGCCCGCUUUGUUUUCCUUACUCAUUAGUUUAAGGCAGUUUGUAAUGUUGCCCCACUCUUCCCUUUUAAACACUUCACUUAGUUCCUUUCCUGCCAACUUCCGAUGCGGGACUAAAAAAUCCCUCAGUCGGCACCACAAGGGAAUCUCGAUGUGCUUUCUCACCCAGCAGGAGUUCCUCCGCGCCACCGCCCUCGCCGCUGAGCGAGUAAGACUCUUCACCGAAUCCAUCCCCGCCCUGGACGAGGUUUUCGCCAAGUUCGUCACCAUGUACCCCGAAGUACCAGUCCUCCAGCCAAAUCGACGGCCUCCGCCGCGACGAGUACUGCCACCUCGCCUCGCCGACGCCCGGGUUUGCCUCGACUUCUGCGGCUUCAAACACGGCCGAGUACGACGUCAAGAGUUCUGGCGAUUCCCGAGGACUCUCCUCCGGCGCUCCUGGUCAAGAAUCUCUACCUCUCCUGCGAUGCCUACAUACGCGGCAGCAUGGCCAAGCACGACUCGCCUAGCUACGUCCCCGACUUCACUCCCGGCUCUGUGAUUACUGGCUUUGGAGUGAGUAGUGGUGGAAUCCACGCAUCCCGAUUUCAUGGUCGGUGAUCUGAUUACAGCCUCAUCGUCUCUGAUUUGGGGAGUUUCUUCAAGAUCAGAUACACGGACUAUACCGGUCUUCUAGGUUAAACUGAAGGAAUGGCGCAAAACUGGAGGAGAACUACAUCCCAUUAGAUUGCUCCAAGCCCUACAGGAGUUGAGUAAAGGUGAAGCUUUUUCCCUGUUACAAGAGCAAAAGGCAGCAUGUGGUGCUAACUGCUAACCAUCUUCCUCAUGUUGUCUCAUGUGAUGAUAGCACUACAAAAUGUAUCCAGACUAUUAAAAGAAAGCCUAUUCUCUGUCAAACAUUAAUAUGCUUUAAGCAAAGUGAGGUGAGCUUUUGUAUGUGCUGAGAUUAUAUUACUUUGAAGAAAAAAUGAUCAUUUAUUACUCUCUCUCAAAAAGUGUAGGGUAUGCUUGAGUUUGCCAUAGAGAAAGGUCUUUAUUAUGCGGGGUGUGCUGAGGUAGUCGAUUAGGAACUACUCAUGUAUAUGCAUUUGUACUCUUCCUGCUUUAGGCUUCAGCCUUUAAUGUUGUUUCUGUUUGGUAUGUACUUCUACUGCCCCAUCCUUCCUAAUAGCUAUCACCUUCCAAAGGUUUAGUGGAAUUUGAGGAGAAGCAUGCACACAAAAUUUAUUCUAUGAUACCAUCAAGAUCAACCGCCCCAACAGAUGCUACGGGAGAUGUGGCAAUUGCUGGACAUGCAAUCAGUUCUUAUCCUUCGAUUCCUUCAGUGCUUUAGCUUGAAUACCAGAGUAGAUGCUAUUGUCUUUAUGGAAUUGCUGAGCUAUGGUUGUUAUGGGAGAGUGAAAAAGAGCAAGAGUUCAUGGCGAAUCAACAAUGAGAAGAGAAACUUGGCCUGCUAUGAUCAGAACAAUCCAAAACCUGAAGAAUCCAAUGAACCGCAUUGUUAUAUUCUUUAUUUUCCAGGCAGCUUCAGUUAAAUUAAAGAGAAGGUGGAACCAGAAAAACUUUCAAAGGGAAGCUUGAGAUCUGACAUUCCAUUGUGAUCCUCUUUAUUAGAAGAACAUAAAGAGUUAAGCUUCCUCCUCAUCGAUUAAGAGC